rnacentral:rRNA from 1 species
AAUUAACGCUGGCAGCGUGCCUAACACAUGCAAGUGGAGCGACAUAGCCGCAGACGGGUGAGUAACACGUGGGAAUCUACCCUUAUCUCGGGAAUAGCCCGCCGAAAGGCGGAUUAAUGCCCGAUAAUACCGCAAGGUUAAAGAUUUAUCGGAUAAGGAUGAGCCCGCGCCCCAUCAGCUUGUUGGUAAGGUAAUGGCUUACCAAGGCGAUGACGGGUAGCUGGUCUGAGAGGAUGACCAGCCACAAUGGGACUGAGACACGGCCCAUACUCCUACGGGAGGCGGCAGUGGGGAAUAUUGGACAAUGGGCGAAAGCCUGAUCCAGCAAUGCCGCGUGAGUGAUGAAGGCCUUAGGGUUGUAAAGCUCUUUUACCCGGGAUGAUAAGGACAGUACCGGGAGAAUAAGCUCCGGCUAACUCCGUGCCAGCAGCCGCCGUAA